rnacentral:rRNA from 1 species
UACGUAGGUGGCAAGCGUUGUCCGGAUUUACUGGGCGUAAAGAGCGCGCAGGCGGUCGUGCAAGUCGCGUGUGAAAGCCCCCGGCUCAACUGGGGAGGGUCACGCGAUACUGCUCGACUCGAAGGCAGGAGAGGGUAGUGGAAUUCCCGGUGUAGUGGUGAAAUUCGUAGAUAUCGGGAGGAACACCGGUGGCGAAGGCGGCGACCUGGGUAG